rnacentral:rRNA from 1 species
UAGAGUUUGAUCCUGGCUCAGGAUGAACGCUAGCUACAGGCUUAACACAUGCAAGUCGAGGGGCAGCAUGGUCUUAGCUUGCUAAGGCCGAUGGCGACCGGCGCACGGGUGAGUAACACGUAUCCAACCUGCCGUCUACUCUUGGACAGCCUUCUGAAAGGAAGAUUAAUACAAGAUGGCAUCAUGAGUCCGCAUGUUCACAUGAUUAAAGGUAUUCCGGUAGACGAUGGGGAUGCGUUCCAUUAGAUAGUAGGCGGGGUAACGGCCCACCUAGUCUUCGAUGGAUAGGGGUUCUGAGAGGAAGGUCCCCCACAUUGGAACUGAGACACGGUCCAAACUCCUACGGGAGGCAGCAGUGAGGAAUAUUGGUCAAUGGGCGAGAGCCUGAACCAGCCAAGUAGCGUGAAGGAUGACUGCCCUAUGGGUUGUAAACUUCUUUUAUAAAGGAAUAAAGUCGGGUAUGCAUACCCGUUUGCAUGUACUUUAUGAAUAAGGAUCGGCUAACUCCGUGCCAGCAGCCGCGGUAAUACGGAGGAUCCGAGCGUUAUCCGGAUUUAUUGGGUUUAAAGGGUGCGUAGGCGGCCUUUUAAGUCAGCGGUGAAAGUCUGUGGCUCAACCAUAGAAUUGCCGUUGAAACUGGGGGGCUUGAGUAUGUUUGAGGCAGGCGGAAUGCGUGGUGUAGCGGUGGAAUGCUUAGAUAUCACGCAGAACCCCGAUUGCGAAGGCAGCCUGCCAAGCCAUGACUGACGCUGAUGCACGAAAGCGUGGGGAUCAAACAGGAUUAGAUACCCUGGUAGUCCACGCAGUAAACGAUGAUCACUAGCUGUUUGCGAUACAUUGUAAGCGGCACAGCGAAAGCGUUAAGUGAUCCACCUGGGGAGUACGCCGGCAACGGUGAAACUCAAAG